CCUACGGGUGGCUGCAGUGGGGAAUAUUGGACAAUGGGCGAAAGCCUGAUCCAGCCAUGCCGCGUGUGUGAAGAAGGCCUUCGGGUUGUAAAGCACUUUCAGUGGGGAAGAAAGCCUUGGGGCUAAUACCCUCGAGGAAGGACAUCACCCACAGAAGAAGCACCGGCUAACUCCGUGCCAGCAGCCGCGGUAAUACGGAGGGUGCGAGCGUUAAUCGGAAUUACUGGGCGUAAAGCGCGCGUAGGCGGUCUGAUAAGCCGGUUGUGAAAGCCCCGGGCUCAACCUGGGAACGGCAUCCGGAACUGUCAGGCUAGAGUGCAGGAGAGGAAGGUAGAAUUCCCGGUGUAGCGGUGAAAUGCGUAGAGAUCGGGAGGAAUACCAGAGGCGAAGGCGGCCUUCUGGACUGACACUGACGCUGAGGUGCGAAAGCGUGGGUAGCAAACAGGAUUAGAUUACCCAGUAGUC
rnacentral:rRNA from 1 species